rnacentral:rRNA from 1 species
CCCCAGACUCCUACGGGAGGCAGCAGUGGGGAAUAUUGCACAAUGGGGGAAACCCUGAUGCAGCGACGCCGCGUGAGUGAAGAAGUACUUCGUUAUGUAAAGCUCUAUCAGCAGGGAAGAAAAUGACGGUACCUGACUAAGAAGCCCCGGCUAACUACGUGCCAGCAGCCGCGGUAAUACGUAGGGGGCAAGCGUUAUCCGGAUUUACUGGGUGUAAAGGGAGCGUAGACGGUCCUGCAAGCCAGAUGUGAAAGCCCGGGGCUCAACCCCGGGACUGCAUUUGGAACUGUAAGGCUAGAGUGUCGGAGAGGCAGGCGGAAUUCCUAGUGUAGCGGUGAAAUGCGUAGAUAUUAGGAGGAACACCAGUGGCGAAGGCGGCCUGCUGGACGACAACUGACGGUGAGGCGCGAAAGCGUGGGGAGCAAACAGGAUUAGAUACCCGAGUAGC